rnacentral:lncRNA from 1 species
AGAUCUGAUCUUCAAACACAAUGGGGGUCAUGCCUUUUUUCUUCUCUUUGUGAUUUCCACAUGAAGCACCAGGGAUCAAACACAAGAAACCAUAGAGAUGAAGGUCAACUGACGUGGAAGGAAACAAACUCUUGAAAUCUAUAAAUCAGGAUUAUCUCUCUGGCAUAUGCAAACAAGUCAGUUACCAUAAAACCAUAUAUAACUGAUAAUUUAGGAAAUCAGUACAGUCCACAGUCACUGCAAUCACCAAAUGUGGAAGCCACCAUAAUGCAAAUAUAGAAGCCUCUUGUGAUUUCACAAUCUCACUCCACAUCAAUGGGCUAAGAUUGAAGAUACUGCUGUGCCAGACACCCAGGUGUAGUAUGCCAAAUGCUCUGUUGGUUAAACCCAUGCCUCCGUCAGUAAAGGUCAGGCGAGCGU